AUGUUAUUUUUUUUCCCCCUUCUAAGCACUUCCAAGAACUUCUUGAUUGUCGUUUAUGGAUUCUUCAUGAAAUUCGGGUUUGUUGGCUUGGAUGGACCAAGUGUCGGUUUCACUGGAAAAACUCUGAUGGUGUCUGAUGAAUGGCACAGAGGAUUGGCCAUAGAUGUGCCUUGCUGCUUUUCAAAAAGGCAUUGGAGUCUGAAAGCCCCACACCUUCCACUACCUAAUUAAAGCUGAGGCAGUUGUGGCCUGAAUUUUUUUGUUGUGUGUGUGUUUUGUGUGUGUGUUUGUUUCUGGCUGUUGACCGGGGGUGGUCACUGAUUGCCAUGAUAACAAUAGCUGGUAAGUUAACAUCAACUAAAUUGUCUAGAAAAAAACCUUUAACUUAAACAUAGAGUAUACAUUUUGUUAGGAGUGUUAAUUGAUUCAUCGUGAUGCGGACGUGGACGAUUCUGCAUCAAUGCAGUAAUAGACCAUAAUCAAUUAUUGCCUACGACAGGCAUCAAUGCUAGUAAUAGACCAUAAUCAAUAUUGCCUACGACAGCGCUUCCACUCGCUGUUAUUUUAGUCUAUUUUAGUCUGUUAUUUACUUUAGAUAUGCCUUCAUUUCUGCUGUUUAGAAUGCAGUACGUAUUCGAUGCACAAAACUCACGCACUGACAGACAUUCACAUGUGCUUUGUGUUUGUUUGUCCUGAAGCUCGCGGCUGUAGUUAAAUGCACUUGCAUCUACUUUUAUGAUACAAAAUUAAUGUAAACGGUCAGUUAUGUUUUCAGAACAGGACAAAGCAUCUGAUAUGUGGAAAUGGAUCUGUGCAUUAGUGUGAAUGCAGGCAAUAAUGCUGAUUAAAAAGAAAAGCCCAUAACUAUGAUUAUCUGUAAACUUUCAAUACUUAAAGCACUCCCAGAUACUGAAAGUGAUUUUUGUUUAUCACUUGUAGUUGUCUUUCCCCCUUUAUUACUUUAUAUUUGCCUGUAUGCCAAAUUAAAUCAUAAAAUCAUUUCACACCCAUAACAUUUUGUAUUUUGCCUCUUUAAUGUAAGUUAGUUUAGCUGGAGGAUUAAGUGAUUCUUGGAUUCUUAACUGCA
rnacentral:lncRNA from 1 species